UUAGUACUCCCUCCGUUCGGAAUUACUCGUCCAAGAAAUGAAUGUAUCUAGAUGUAUUUUAGUUGUAGAUACAUCCAUUUUUAUGACAAGUAAUUCCGAACGGAGGGAGUAGUAG
rnacentral:pre_miRNA from 1 species